UAUCUGGUUGAUUCUGCCAGUAGUCAUAUGCUUGUCUCAAAGAUUAAGCCAUGCAUGUCUAAGUAUAAGCAAUUAUACAGCGAAACUGCGAAUGGCUCAUUAUAUAAGUUAUCGUUUAUUUGAUAGUACCUUACUACUUGGAUAACCGUGGUAAUUCUAGAGCUAAUACAUGCUAAAAAUCCCGACUUCGGAAGGGAUGUAUUUAUUAGAUUAAAAACCAAUGCCCUCUGGGCUCCUUGGUGAUUCAUAAUAACUUUUCGAAUCGCAUGGCCUUGCGCCGGCGAUGGUUCAUUCAAAUUUCUUCCCUAUCAACUUUCGAUGUUUGGGUAUUGGCCAAACAUGGUCGCAACGGGUAACGGAGGGUUAGGGCUCGACCCCGGAGAAGGAGCCUGAGAAACGGCUACUACAUCCAAGGAAGGCAGCAGGCGCGCAAAUUACCCAAUCCCGAUUCGGGGAGGUAGUGACAAUAAAUACUGAUACAGGGCUCUUUUGGGUCUUGUAAUUGGAAUGAGUACAAUUUAAAUCCCUUAACGAGGAACAAUUGGAGGGCAAGUCUGGUGCCAGCAGCCGCGGUAAUUCCAGCUCCAAUAGCGUAUAUUAAAGUUGUUGUGGUUAAAAAGCUCGUAGUUGAACCUUGGGCCUGGCUGGCCGGUCCGCCUCACCGCGUGUACUGGUCCGGCCGGGCCUUUCCCUCUGUGGAACCUCAUGCCCUUCACUGGGUGUGGCGGGGAAACAGGACUUUUACUUUGAAAAAAUUAGAGUGCUCCAGGCAGGCCUAUGCUCGAAUACAUUAGCAUGGAAUAAUGAAAUAGGACGUGUGGUUCUAUUUUGUUGGUUUCUAGGACCGCCGUAAUGAUUAAUAGGGACAGUCGGGGGCAUCAGUAUUCAAUUGUCAGAGGUGAAAUUCUUGGAUUUAUUGAAGACUAACUACUGCGAAAGCA
rnacentral:ncRNA from 1 species